UACAGAGGGUGCAAGCGUUAAUCGGAAUUACUGGGCGUAAAGGGUGCGUAGGUGGACGCAUAAGUCGGAUGUGAAAUCCCUGGGCUUAACCUAGGAACUGCAUUCGAUACUGUGAGUCUAGAGUAUGGUAGAGGUAAGUGGAAUUUCCAGUGUAGCGGUGAAAUGCGUAGAUAUUGGAAGGAACAUCAGUGGCGAAGGCGACUUACUGGACUGAUACUGACGCUGAGGCACGAAAGCGUGGGGAGCAAACAGG
rnacentral:rRNA from 1 species